CCUUAUAUACUAUGCUGCUCAGUGAUUUAUUUGUUACUCUUUACGUUUUCUUUACUGCUGUGGAGUUUAGUAAAGAGAGUUAAUGCAAAAUAGGAAGCCUCCUGUCAUGUUAUAAAAUUACAACACUGCAAGGACUAUUCACCACCAUUUUCUAGAUUUUGUGUGGUAGCUUAUUGCUGUAAAGCAGAACACCUGAAUUUACAAAACACUGCAGACAUUGUAACAAAACAUGAGGGCAAUAAAAGUGCACCACAAGUGCAAUGCAUUAAUGGAACUUGCUUCCAUAACCUUGCAGUCCAAAAUCCAUUGUAUGCAAAAAUAUGAAGCAGCUAAAGGACACCUAUAGUAACUUGUCCGGAAUCCCUUGCAAAGUUGAAACCUACAGCUAUCAUUUGUAGAGGAAAUAUGCUAAGCAGAUAUGAAUAAGAACCGUGUCACCGUGUACACAUGGGUGAAUCUACA